rnacentral:rRNA from 1 species
CCCUUAGAUGUUCUGGGCUGCACGCGCGCUACACUGAAGCGUUCAACGAGUAUUUCACCUUGCCCGGGAGGGUUGGGUAAUCUUUUUAAAACGCUUCGUGAUGGGGAUAGAUUAUUGCAAUUAUUAAUCUUCAACGAGGAAUUCCUAGUAAGCGCGAGUCAUCAGCUCGUGCUGAUUACGUCCCUGCCCUUUGUACACACCGCCCGUCGCUCCUACCGAUUGAGUUAUCCGGUGAAUAAUUCGGACUGCAGCAGUGCUUGGUCCUCCGGGCUUUGCAGUGGAAAGUUUAGUGAACCUUAUCACUUAGAGGAAGGAGAAGUCGUAACA